GUGCCAGCAGCCGCGGUAAAACGUAGGAGACAAACGUUAUCCGGAGUUACUGGGCGUAAAGGGCGUGUAGGUGGUUUUGUAAGUCUGGCGUGAAAUUUUUCGGCUUAACCGGGAAAGGUCGUCGGAUACUGCAGGACUAGAGGACGGUAGAGGCGUGUGGAAUUCCGGGUGUAGUGGUGAAAUGCGUAGAGAUCCGGAGGAACACCAGUGGCGAAGGCGACACGCUGGGCCGUACCUGACACUGAUGCGCGACAGCAUGGGGAGCAAACAGGAUUAGAAACCCUCGUAGUCC
rnacentral:rRNA from 1 species